rnacentral:rRNA from 1 species
UACGGAGGGGGCCAGCGUUGUUCGGAAUCAUUGGGCGUAAAGGGCGCGUAGGCGGCCGAUCAAGUCGGAGGUGAAAUCCCUCGGCUCAACUGAGGAAUUGCCCCCGAUACUGUUCGGCUUGAGUCCUGGAGAGGGUAGUGGAAUUCCCAGUGUAGCGGUGAAAUGCGUAGAGACUGGGAAGAACACCAGUGGCGAAGGCGGCUACCUGGACAGGUACUGACGCUGAAGCGCGAAAGCUAGGGGAGCAAACAGG